AGAACGAACGCUGGCGGCAGGCUUAACACAUGCAAGUCGAGCGCCCCCGCAAGGGGGAGCAGCAGACGGGUGAGUAACGCGUGGGAAUCUACCCAUCACUACGGAACAACUCCGGGAAACUGGAGCUAAAUACCGUAUACGUCCUUCGGGAGAAAGAUUUAUCGGUGAUGGAUGAGCCCGCGUUGGAUUAGCUAGUUGGUGGGGUAAUGGCCUACCAAGGCGACGAUCCAUAGCUGGUCUAGAGAGGAUGAUCAGCCACAUUGGGACUGAGACACGGCCCAAACCUCCUACGGGAGGCAGCGAGUGGGGAAUAGUUAGGACGAAGUGGGACGAAAGGCCUGAUCCAGCAUGCCGCGUGAGUGAUGAAGGCCUAGGGUUAGUAA
rnacentral:rRNA from 1 species